GGAGAGAGCGAGAGCGAGAGAGAGAGAGACGUGAAGAAAGAUGAUUUACCGGAGCUGGUCUCUGAUGUCGUCCACGGUGGUUAUAUGGGGAAGCGUCGCCGCUGCUGGCCUCGCCGGGAUUUUCGUCUUCGGUGGCAAGGAGAAGUUUCAAGAAUAUCUGAACCGCGAGGGUGCGAGGCUUCGACAGCAAGAUAGGGCCAAGAUUGAAGCAAACAGAGCCUAAUGGAGUUAGAACCCAAAUGAAGCCAAGAUGAAUCGCAUUCCUAGCCGUCUUUAUUUCCCCUACUGUUGCCGUUUCAGGUCCAAUAAAUGUUGUCGAUCGUCACAAACUUCCACUGCAAUUUGGUCCCCUGGUGUGGUCCAAUCCAAAUAAAACGAAUAUAAUACAAUUUGAAACUUCUGAUGCCUCGAACUGUGUACUAAAUUUUGAUAGUUUGAUUUUUAUUUUUUUA